GUGGGGAAUAUUGGGCAAUGGGCGAAAGCCUGACCCAGCAACGCCGCGUGAAGGAAGAAGGCCCUCGGGUUGUAAACUUCUUUUAUUCGGGACGAAGAAUGUGACGGUACCGAAUGAAUAAGCACCGGCUAACUACGUGCCAGCAGCCGCGGUAAUACGUAGGGUGCAAGCGUUAAUCGGAAUUACUGGGCGUAAAGCGUGCGCAGGCGGUUUUGUAAGACUGGCGUGAAAGGCUGCAGCUUAACUGUAGCAUGGCGCUGGUAACUACAAGACUUGAGUCACGGAGAGGGAGCUAGAAUUCCAGGUGUAGGGGUGAAAUCUGUAGAUAUCUGGAAGAAUACCAGUGGCGAAGGCGAGCUUCUGGCCGAUGACUGACGCUGAGGUGCGAAAGCGUGGGUAGCAAACAGGAUUAGAUACCCGGGUAGUCC
rnacentral:rRNA from 1 species